rnacentral:rRNA from 1 species
GACGAACGCUGGCGGCGUGCUUAACACAUGCAAGUCGAACGGUGAAGCCCUUCGGGGUGGAUCAGUGGCGAACGGGUGAGUAACACGUGAGCAACCUGCCCCUGGCUCUGGGACAACCACUGGAAACGGUGGCUAAUACCGGAUACGACCCGCCUCGGCAUCGAGUGUGGGUGGGAAGUUUGGCGGCUGGGGAUGGGCUCGCGGCCUAUCAGCUUGUUGGUGAGGUGGAGGCUUACCAAGGCCACGACGGGUAGCCGGCCUGAGAGGGCGACCGGCCACACUGGGACUGAGACACGGCCCAGACUCCUACGGGAGGCAGCAGUGGGGAAUAUUGCACAAUGGGCGAAAGCCUGAUGCAGCGACGCCGCGUGAGGGAUGACGGCCUUCGGGUUGUAAACCUCUUUCAGCUCCGAAGAAGCGAAAGUGACGGUAGGAGCAGAAGAAGCACCGGCUAACUACGUG